AAGCAAUUAUACCGUGAAACUGCGAAUGGCUCAUUAAAUCAGUUAUCGUUUAUUUGAUAGUACCUUACUACUUGGAUAACCGUGGUAAUUCUAGAGCUAAUACAUGCUGAAAACCCCGACUUCGGAAGGGGUGUAUUUAUUAGAUAAAAAACCAAUGCCCUUCGGGGCUCCUUGGUGAUUCAUAAUAACUUCUCAGAUCGCAUGGCCUUGCGCCGGCGACGGUUCAUUCAAAUUUCUGCCCUAUCAACUUUCGAUGGUAAGGUAUUGGCUUACCAUGGUUUCAACGGGUAACGGGGAAUUAGGGUUCGAUUCCGGAGAGGGAGCCUGAGAAACGGCUACCACAUCCAAGGAAGGCAGCAGGCGCGCAAAUUACCCAAUCCCGACACGGGGAGGUAGUGACAAUAAAUACUGAUACAGGGCUCUUUUGGGUCUUGUAAUUGGAAUGAGUACAAUUUAAACCUCUUAACGAGGAACAAUUGGAGGGCAAGUCUGGUGCCAGCAGCCGCGGUAAUUCCAGCUCCAAUAGCGUAUAUUAAAGUUGUUGCAGUUAAAAAGCUCGUAGUUGAACCUUUGGCCUGGCUGGCAGGUCCGCCUCACCGCGUGCACUUGUCCGGCCGGGCCUUUUCUUCUGGAGAACCGCAUGCCCUUCACUGGGUGUGUUGGGGACCAGGACUUUUACUUUGAAAAAAUUAGAGUGUUCAAAGCAGGCCUUUGCUCGAAUACGUUAGCAUGGAAUAAUAGAAUAGGACGUGCGGUCCUAUUUUGUUGGUUUCUAGGACCGCCGUAAUGAUUAAUAGGGACAGUCGGGGGCAUCAGUAUUCAAUUGUCAGAGGUGAAAUUCUUGGAUUUAUUGAAGACUAACUACUGCGAAAGCAUUUGCCAAGGAUGUUUUCAUUAAUCAGUGAACGAAAGUUAGGGGAUCGAAGACGAUCAGAUACCGUCGUAGUCUUAACCAUAAACUAUGCCGACUAGGGAUCGGGCGGUGUUAUUAUUUUGACUCGCUCGGCACCUUACGAGAAAUCAAAGUGUUUGGGUUCUGGGGGGAGUAUGGUC
rnacentral:rRNA from 1 species